rnacentral:rRNA from 1 species
AUUAUAUGUACAUUUAGUGGAGGCCUAGAUAAGAGUGAAAUGGACGUAUAGCGAAACGAAAAGCUAUAUACAAUUGUCGUAAUACAAGAUGGUAUAGAUCUCCAUAGAGGAAACUCAGUUUAAAAAAUGACCUAGUGAAUUGAAACAUCUUAGUAACUAGAGGAAUAGAAAUCAACCGAGACUCCGUUAGUAGUGGUGAGCGAAAGCGGAAUAGGCCAAUAUCAAUAAUGAUAAAUAUCUGUAAAAUAAGCUCUGCUUAUUUAAUUUUUUGUAUUGUUCUAGCAAAUCCAAGUAAUUUGAAAAAACACGCCAGAGAAGGUUAUAGCCCUGUGUAUUUCAUGUAUAUAAUUAUUAAAAUUGGCAGAAAAUUUACUAAUUAAAAUUAUUUACAUUUUGUAAAAAAUGCAUGAAUUGUGGUAUUAAUUUAUCAUAAGCGAAGCAAUACAAUUAUUGAUAAUAUAUUAAAUUAAAUUAAUUUAAUAUAAUUGAGUAAAACGAGAGCAAACUUGUUUGAAAAUAGGGGAACCAUCCUCUAAGCCUAAGUACGCACUCUUAAUCGAUAGUGAACAAGUACCGUGAGGGAAAGGUGAAAAAGAAGUGAAAUAAAUACUGAAACUGGAUGUAUACAAGCACUCAGAGCUUUUUAUAUCUUAUAUAUAAUGAUAAGUGUAAAGAGUGAUGGGGUACCUUUUGUAUAAUGGGUCAACGAGUAAAUAAAUGAAGCGAGCUUAAGCUAUAGAGUGGAGGCGUAGUAAAAACGAAUAAUAGUGUCAUUUAUUUGACCCGAAACCGAGUGAUCUAGUCAUGAACAGGUUGAAAAAGCGCUAACACGUUUUGGAGGACCGAACUCACGUCUGUGGCAAUAGACGGAGAUGAUUUGUGAUUAGGGGUGAAAAGCCAAUCGAACUCGGAGAUAGCUGGUUUUCUGCGAAAUUUAUUUAGGUAAAGUCUAGAGUAAUAAACUUAGUUUACUUCGUUUAUAAUAGAUAAAAAGGGGGUAGAGCACUCGUUGGGCAAGGGUGGCCCAAAGCCUUACUAAGUCCAAGGAAACUCCUAAUACCUUUUUAUAGUAAUCUAGAAUCAGACUUUGGGCGCUAAGGUCCAAAGUCGAAAGGGAAACAGCCCAGAUCGAACGCUAAGGUUCCAAAGCGUAUAUUUAGUGGUAAAGGAUGUUAUAGAGCCUAGACAACCAGCAAGUAGGCUUAGAAGCAGCCAUCUUAUAAUGAAAGCGUAGUAGCUCACUGGUCUAGUUGUUAAUUGAAAAAUUAACUGGCUAUGUAGCGCCGAAAAUGUAACGGAGCUCAAGUAUACCACCGAAGCGGCGGCUAUAAAUUUUCAAUAAUAAAGUUUAUAGGGUAGCAGAACGUUCUGUAAGUAGAAUAAUGAUAAAUACGUAAGUAUUUAUUUAUAUAUCAGAAGUGAGAAUGUUGACAUGAGUAACGUAAAAUCAUGUGUAAUUCAUGAUCGCCGAAAGUCCAGUGUUUUCUACAAACUAGAAUUCAAUGUAGAGUUAAUCGGCCCCUAAGUAUUCAAGCGAUUGCUGAAAUAUAAUGGGUACAAGAAUUUAAAAUUUCUUGAUGUAUACUAAAUUACGAAUAGUACCUAUUUUAAAAGAUAAAUGGAUUUCUUUUAAAAUAUACCUAUUCCAGGAAAAAAAUAGUAUAUAAACACCGUACUUACCGACACUGGAGGAUGAGUAGAAUAUACUAAGGCGUAGAGAGAAUCAUAUUAAAGGAACUCGGCAAAUUGCCUCCGUAACUUCGGGAUAAGGAGGACCACUUUUAUAAUGAAAUUAAUGAAAGUUUUUUUUAGAAAGAAAGUGGUGGCACAAAAUAGGGAGCGACGACUGUUUACCAAAAACACAGGACUCUGCUAAGCGGUAACGCGACGUAUAGGGUCUGACACCUGCCCGGUGCUGGAAACUUAAGUGGAGAGGUUUGUUGCUGUAAACAUUAUAAAAUAAUGUUGUAAAAUAAAUUCAAGCUUUUAAAUUAAUGUCCAGUAAACGGCAGCUGUAACUAUAACAGUUCUAAGGUAGCGAAACUCAUUGUCGGGUAAGUUCCGACCUGCAUGAAUGGUGUAACGAUUGCUCCGCUGUCUCUAAUAUGAUCUCAGUGAAAUUGAACUCUUCGUGAAGAUGCGAAGUUCCCAAAAGUAGACGGAAAGACCCUAUGCACCUUUACUGCAACUUUACGUUGAAAAAGGAUAUUGAUUGUAGAGGAUAGGUGGGAGCUAUUAUUUAUAAUAGCAACCUUGAAAUACCACCCUUUCUAUAUCGUUUUUCUAAGCAUUAAUAUCAUUUAAAUAUGAUUGUGACAGCGUAUAGUGGGUAGUUUGACUGGGGCGGUCGUUUUCUAAAGAGUAACGAAAACGUGCGAAGGUAAGCUCAAGCUGGAAGGAAAUCAGCUGUAGAGCGUAAUGGUAUAAGCUUGCCUGACUGUGAGACUUACAAGUCAAACAGAGACGAAAGUCGGCCAUAGUGACCCGGGAGCAUCCAAAUGGACGGGCUCUCGCUCAACGGAUCAAAGGUACGCUAGGGAUAACAGGCUAAUGAUUCCCAAGAGCUCUUAUCGACGGAAUCGUUUGGCACCUCGAUGUCGACUCAUCACAUCCUCGAGCUGUAGAAGGUUCGAAGGGUUCGGCUGUUCGCCGAUUAAAGUGGUACGUGAGUUGGGUUCAAUACGUCGUAAGACAGUAUGGUUCCUAUCUUUUUUGGGUGUAAAAAAUUGCCAGGAUGUAUUCUUUGUACGAGAGGACCGGAAUGCACAAACCGCUGGUGUACCAGUUGUUAUGCCAAUAGCAUUGCUGGGUAGCUACGUUUGGACUAGAGAACCGCUGAAAGCAUCUCAAGCGGGAAACUAACCUGAAAACAAGUUUUUGAUAUCGUAGAAGACUACUACGUAAUAGGUGGAAUGUGUAAAAAUAGCAAUAUUUCCAUUUUACUGUUUAUAAUUUAUUAUUUUCAGUAAGAGAGCAAAUCCAUACUAAAUCUAAUUAUAUUAUUUUAUU